rnacentral:rRNA from 1 species
UACGAAGGGGGCUAGCGUUGUUCGGAAUUACUGGGCGUAAAGCGCGCGCAGGCGGCUAUCCAAGUCAGUGGUGAAAGCCCGGAGCUCAACUCCGGAACUGCCAUUGAAACUGUUUAGCUUGAGGAUGAGAGAGGAGACUGGAAUUCCCGGUGUAGCGGUGAAAUGUGUAGAGAUCGGGAGGAACACCGGUGGCGAAGGCGGGUCUCUGGGCAAUUCCUGACGCUGAGGCGCGAAAGCGUGGGGAGCAAACGGG